rnacentral:rRNA from 2 species
UGCAGUCGAACGGCACACGGACUUCGGUCUGGUGGCGAGUGGCGAACGGGUGAGUAAUGUAUCGGAACGUGCCCAGUAGCGGGGGAUAACUACGCGAAAGCGUAGCUAAUACCGCAUACGCCCUAGGGGGGAAAGCAGGGGAUCGCAAGACCUUGCACUAUUGGAGCGGCCGAUAUCGGAUUAGCUAGUUGGUGGGGUAACGGCUCACCAAGGCGACGAUCCGUAUCUGGUUUGAGAGGACGACCACCCACUCUGGGACUGACACACGGCCCACACUCCUACGGGAGGCAGCAGUGGGGAAUUUUGGACAAUGGGGGAAACCCUGAUCCAGCCAUCCCGCGUGUGCGAUGAAGGCCUUCGGGUUGUAAAGCACUUUUGGCAGGAAAGAAACGUCCCGGGUUAAUACCCCGCGGAACUGACGGUACCUGCAAAAUAAGCACCGGCUAACUACGUGCCAGCAGCCGCGGUAAUACGUAGGGUGCAAGCGUUAAUCAGAAUUACUGGGCGUAAAGCGUGCGCAGGCGGUUCGGAAAGAAAGAUGUGAAAUCCCAGAGCUUAACUUUGGAACUGCAUUUUUAACUACCGGGCUAGAGUGUGUCAGAGGGAGGUGGAAUUCCGCGUGUAGCAGUGAAAUGCGUAUAUAUGCAGAAGAACACCGAUGGCGAACGCACCCUCCUGGGAUAACACUGACGC